rnacentral:pre_miRNA from 1 species
AAAAUAAUUACCUGGGGAACUUGUUAAAAUGCAGGUUCUGAUUCAGUAGGUCUGGGUGGAGCCUGAGAUUCUGCAUUUCUGAUGAGCUCCCGGGUGAUGCUCAU